rnacentral:rRNA from 2 species
GUGGUCAAGUUACUAAGGGCGCACGGUGGAUGCCUUGGCGAGAAGAGGCGAUGAAGGACGUGGCUGACUGCGAUAAGCCUCGGGGAGCCGUGAGCAGGCUUCGAUCCGGGGAUUUCCGAAUGGGGAAACCCGAUGAGUCAAUAACUCAUCAUUCGUUACUGAACUCAUAGGUAACGGAGGCGAACUCGGGGAAGUGAACCAUCUCAGUACCCGAAGGAACAGAAAGCAAAAUUGCGACUCCCCUAGUAGCGGCGAGCGAACGGGGAUGAGCCCAAACCGCGUGCGGCGUAGCCGCGCAGGGUGUUUUUCGCACGCGGGGUUGUGGGAUCCGACGUGACCUCUGCGAACAGGUCAGGGAGUUACAAAUCGGCACGCUAGCUGAACCAGUGUUGGAAAACCUGGCGAUACAGGGUGAUAGCCCCGUAAGCGAAAGCGUUGAUCGACUCCCCGUUGGACUCCCGAGUACCACGGGACACGUGAAACCCUGUGGGAAGCUGGGGGGACCAUCCUCCAAGGCUAAGUACUUCUUCUCGACCGAUAGUGAACCAGUACCGUGAGGGAAAGGUGAAAAGAACCUCGACUAGAGGAGUGAAACAGUCCCUGAAACCGUGUGUCUACAAGCAGUGGAAGAGCUAUGGGCGGCUUCGGCCGCCGACGACGCUCGACCGCGUGCCUUUUGCAUAAUGAGCCGGCUAGUUAUUCUCAGUGGCAAGGUUAAGUUUCAAAGCGAGCCGUAGCGAAAGCGAGUCUGAAUAGGGCGUCGAGUCGCUGGGAAUAGACGCGAAGCGAGGUGAUCUAUCCUUGGCCAGGGUGAAGGACGGGUAACGCCGUCUGGAGGCCCGAACCAGUGUGGGAUGCAAUCCGCUUGGAUGAGCUGAGGAUAGGGGUGAAAGGCCAAUCAAACCUCGUGAUAGCCCGUUCUCCUCGAAAUAGCUUUAGGGCUAGCCUCGGGAGGUCGGUCGUGGCCGUAGAGCACUGGAUGGACUAGGGGGCCCACAAGCUUACUGAAUCCAACCAAACUCCGAAGACCAUGAAUCCGUAUCCCGGGAGUCAGACUGCGGGGGCUAAGCUCCGUAGUCGAAAGGGAAACAGCCCAGACCGCCAGCUAAGGUCCCCAAACACAGGCUAAGUGGGAAAGGAUCUGAAGACGCUCAGACAGCCAGGAGGUUGGCUUAGAGGCAGCCAUCCUUUAAAGAAAGCGUAACAGCUCACUGGUCGAGCGGCUUCGGGCCGAUAAUUUAACGGGGCUCAAGUCUGUUACCGAAGCUGCGGAGUGCCAUUUUUUGGCAUUGGUAGAGGAGCGUUCCAUGGGGGUUGAAGUCGGACCGUGAGGACCGAUGGACCGCAUGGAAGUGACCCUGCCGGCAUAAGUAACGUCAUCCAGGUGAGAACCCUGGACGCCGAAUAUCCAAGGUUUCCUAGGGAAGGUCAGUCCGCCCUGGGUUAGUCGGACUCUAAGGCGAGGCCGAAAGGCGUAGUCGAUGAGAAGCAGGUCAACAUUCCUGCACCACCUUGGAAGCGUUUGAGUGAUGGGGUGACGCAGACAGAUAGGCCUACGCCCGAUUGGAUUGGGGCGGCCGUUGCUCAAGAUGGGGAUCCAGGCAAAUCCGGAUCCCGUGAUUCAAGAGUUGCGGGGAAGCGCGUCUUCGGACAAGCCAACUGGUUGGUUCUGGCUGCCAAGAAAAACCUCUAGCGAGUUUCCGGGUGCCCGUACCGUAAACCGACACAGGUGGAUAAGGAGAGAAUCCUAAGGCGCAAGUGAGAACCCUCGUUUAGGAACUCGGCAAAAUAGCUCCGUAACUUCGGGAGAAGGAGUGCCUCGUUAGGGUGUAAAAGCCCGAGGAGGCCGCAGUGAAGUGGCCUGGGCGACUGUUUACCAAAAACACAGGACUCUGCUAAGUCGCAAGACGACGUAUAGGGUCUGACGCCUGCCCGGUGCCGGGAGGUUAAGAGGAGGGGUUAGCUUUCGGGCGAAGCUCUGAAUCGAAGCCCCGGUAAACGGCGGCCGUAACUAUGACGGUCCUAAGGUAGCGAAAUUCCUUGUCGGGUAAGUUCCGACCUGCACGAAUG